rnacentral:rRNA from 1 species
GACGAACGCUGGCGGCGUGCUUAACACAUGCAAGUCGAACGGAAAGGCCCUGCUUGCCGGGUACUCGAGUGGCGAACGGGUGCGUAACACGUGGGUGAUCUGCCCUGCACUUCGGGAUAAGCCUGUGAAACUGGGUCUAAUACCGGAUAGUAGCCAUUUUUAGUUUGAUGGUUGGAAAGUUUUUUCGGUGUAGGAUGAGCUCGCGGCCUAUCAUCUUGUUGGUGGGGUAAUGGCCUACCAAGGGGGCGACGGGUAGCCGGCCUGAGAGGGUGGACGGCCACAUUGGGACUGAGAUACGGCCCAGAAGCCGACGGGAGGCAGCAGUGGGGAAUAUUGCACAAUGGGAGCAAGCCGGAUGCAGCGACGCCGCGUGGGUGAGGACGGACUUCGGGUUGUAAACUGCUUUCGCUAGGGACGAAGCUUUUUGUGAAGGUACCUAGAUAAGAAGCACCGGCUAACUACGUG